CCGCCAGACUCCUACGGGAGGCAGCAGUGGGGAAUAUUGCACAAUGGGGGAAACCCUGAUGCAGCGACGCCGCGUGAGUGAAGAAGUCAUUCGUUACGUAAGGCUCUAUCAGCAGGGAAGAGAGUGACGGUACCUGAGUAAGAAGCCCCGGCUAACUACGUGCCAGCAGCCGCGGUAAUACGUAGGGGGCAAGCGUUAUCCGGAUUUACUGGGUGUAAAGGGAGCGUAGACGGCAAUGCAAGUCUGGAGUGAAAGGCGGGGGCCCAACCCCCGGACUGCUCUGGAAACUGUAUAGCUGGAGUGCAGGAGAGGUAAGUGGAAUUCCUAGUGUAGCGGUGAAAUGCGUAGAUAUUAGGAGGAACACCAGUGGCGAAGGCGGCUUACUGGACUGUAACUGACGUUGAGGCUCGAAAGCGUGGGGAGCAAACAGGAUUAGAUACCCCUGUAGAA
rnacentral:rRNA from 1 species